UACGAAGGGGGCUAGCGUUGCUCGGAAUCACUGGGCGUAAAGGGUGCGUAGGCGGGUUUUUAAGUCAGAGGUGAAAUCCUGGAGCUCAACUCCAGAACUGCCUUUGAUACUGAGAAUCUUGAGUAUGGGAGAGGUGAGUGGAACUGCGAGUGUAGAGGUGAAAUUCGUAGAUAUUCGCAAGAACACCAGUGGCGAAGGCGGCUCACUGGCCCAUAACUGACGCUGAGGCACGGAAGCGUGGGGAGCAAACAGG
rnacentral:rRNA from 1 species